rnacentral:rRNA from 1 species
GUAGGGUGCGAGCGUUAAUCGGAAUUACUGGGCGUAAAGGGUGCGCAGGCGGCGUCGCAAGUCAGGCGUGAAAUCCCCGGGCUUAACCUGGGAACUGCACUUGAAACUACGAUGCUGGAGUAUGGCAGAGGGAGGUGGAAUUCCACGUGUAGCGGUGAAAUGCGUAGAGAUGUGGAGGAACACCGACGGCGAAGGCAGCCUCCUGGGCCAAUACUGACGCUCAUGCACGAAAGCGUGGGGAGCAAACAGGAUUAGAUACCCUGGUAGUCCACGCCCUAAACGAUGAUGACUAGUUGUUGGAGGAGUUAAAUCCUUUAGUAACGCAGCUAACGCGAGAAGUCAUCCGCCUGGGGAGUACGGUCGCAAGAUUA